rnacentral:lncRNA from 1 species
UAUGGUAAACUCUUUCAAAAAUUAAAACUAAGCGGUGUUUUAAAUGGAUAGAGUGAGUGAGUGUCAUUGCAUUUUUUUGGUAAUUUUUAUUUACUAAUUUUAUGAGUUUUAACAUUUAAUUAUUAUAUUGAUUUAGAAAAAAUUAAAUGAUGAAUAAUUAUUAGUAAAACUAGGAAGAAGGGGACGAAAAACAGAAGUUCAUCUGUUUCU